AAAGCCCCGCGGGGACCCCAGACCGGCACAUCCCGGCCAUGGCUUCGAGCUCCCUCCCGGUCCUCGCCCUCCUGGCUCUCGUGGCCCUCCCAGGGCUCCGGGCGGCCGUGACCCUGCUGGAGUCCGGGGGGGACCUCCAGCCCCCCGGGGGGUCCCUGCGCCUCCUCUGCCGCGGAUCUGGCUCCGGCCUCGCGCGAUCCCACGUCCUCUGGAUCCGCCAGGGCCCCGGGGCGGGGCUGGCGUUCGUCGCCGGGAUCAGCCGCGAGGGAUCGGAGGAGUACGCGGCGUCGGCGCGGGGCCGGUUCCGGAUCGCCAGGGACGACGGGCGGGGCUCGGUGACGCUGGCCAUGGACGGCCUCAGGGACGAGGAUUCCGGCGCCUAUUUCUGCGCCGCUCACAGUGGUGCCGGCGCCGGGGACGGGCGGAUAAAAACCUCGGGGUGGUCCCCGGGGUGUGCCUGAGGUCAAGACCCCUUGGAUGGACCUUGAGAGCCGCUGGGUGGACGUAGGGACGCCGUGGGUGGACAUCGGGACCCUUCCAUGAUGGUCAGGACCCCCUGGAGGAAGGUCAAGACCUUUUGGGUGGACGUUGGGACACCUCGGAUGGACACCGAGACCCUUCCAUGGGCACGGAGACCCUUUGGAGGAAGGUCAAGACCCUUUGGGUGGACACUGGAACCUCUGGAUGGACACUGGAACCUCUGGGUGGACGUUUGGACCCAAAGCCGGCUGAACUUGGACCCUUUUUUGCCCAUUUUGGACCCAAAUCUGGAUUAAUUUCGACCCUUUUUCGCCCAUUUUGGACCCAAAUCUGGACUGAUUUUGGCGCUUUUCCUCCAGCUUUUGCCCAAAAUUGGGCUCAUUUGGCCCUUUUUGCCCAUUUUAUCCCAAAUCUGGAUUAAUUUUGACCUUUUUUUGCCCAUUUUGGACCCAAAUCUGGAUUAAUUUUGACCCUUUUU